GCCCACCAUGAAAUCUGUCCCAAAUCAUGGAACCCCGAGGUGAAAGGCCCCCAGGCAUGCCAACACAUGGCAGACAAAUCCAGUUGUGUCCAGGGAUGGCGUUCCCUCCAGUUUUCUGAAAGACGCUCCCAUAUUCCUUAAGCACAGGGAUCUACUAAAGGAUGUGCUCCUUAAAAAUGAGGGAGUAAGCCGAGAAAGAGGAAGAUGUGGGCUCUAGAAAAUGGAAUCCAAUGCAGCAAAAGGCAUCUGAAAAUCAGUGGAAAUCAUCGCCAACUCUCACUCCUCCCAAUUACCUCCUGGGUGGGCUGGAACCUGAGAAAUCUCAUCAGUAAAGCUCAACAGCGUUGCCGAAUGCAUUCUCCUCUUCAGGCUACAAGAGCUUUGGGGUUGCAUGCUGUCACUCAAGAUCAACCGUAAGGGGCUCACAGAGGUCCAGAGAGGCCUCAGUGCUCCCUGAUGUUGAUGCCCCCAAAACCAGUCCAAAUCUAAGCCAGGUGCUCGGACCCACAGCAGCGGUCAGGGCCCUGCAGCCGGGCAGAACGCUGCUCCUCUGCGAACCUAACAGGGACAGGCAGAAGAGUAGAUAGAUGCCCACCCUCCCCGAUCUCCAGCUGAGAUGCACAUUGGCCCAGAACAAGUGAGCUGCCUUGCAGAGCCACCACGAGAAGGAAGCCGAGGCAGGAACAGAAGUGUCUGCUGUCUAUGUGCUAACAUGCACACAGACUGUGCCCCAGUUUCUAGCCCCGAGUCACAGCGAGGCUUCUCUGAGGACACAGUCCUGCUCUUUUGCCUGCCAAGUCAUCGGCUCCCCGCACCUCUAGUGGGAAGCUGUGGGGUGGCCGAGAACUGGGUGAGCCCACCCCCCACCAGAAGGCUCUCUGUUCACCCAGUGACAUCAUCUUCUGCUCCCUGUGAUCUUGGUAAUCCUAUCCAUCCUGUGCUUUCCCCCAGAAAAAUAAAUUAAAGCAGGGCCCUCUGAGUCCCCAAUCUACUUAAUUGUACUGCCUUCACAGUCUUUGUUUGAGAAACAGUCCCCACAGCUCAAGACUCUUCAAGCAUGGAUCUGUAUUGCCAUGAUUAUUUCUGGAAUCUCUUUGAAAUUCCACUCGAUGCAGAAAACAUGUCCCACCUGUCUCAGA
rnacentral:lncRNA from 10 species